rnacentral:rRNA from 1 species
AUUGAACGCUGGCGGCAUGCCUUACACAUGCAAGUCGAACGGCAGCACGGGAGCAAUCCUGGUGGCGAGUGGCGAACGGGUGAGUAAUAUAUCGGAACGUGCCCAGUCGUGGGGGAUAACGUAGCGAAAGCUACGCUAAUACCGCAUACGAUCUAUGGAUGAAAGCGGGGGGAUCGCAAGACCUCGCGCGAUUGGAGCGGCCGAUAUCAGAUUAGGUAGUUGGUGAGGUAAAGGCUCACCAAGCCGACGAUCUGUAGCUGGUCUGAGAGGACGACCAGCCACACUGGAACUGAGACACGGUCCAGACUCCUACGGGAGGCAGCAGUGGGGAAUUUUUGGACAAUGGACGCAAGUCUGAUCCAGCCAUUCCGCGUGCAGGAUGAAGGCCCUCGGGUUGUAACUGCUUUUGUACGGAACGAAAGGUUUCUAUUAAUACUAGGAGCUCAUGACGGUACCGUAAGAAUAAGCACCGGCUAACUACGUG